rnacentral:rRNA from 1 species
GACGAACCGUGCGAACGUUAUUCGGAAUCACUGGGCUUAAAGCGCGUGGUAGGCGGGGCGGUGCGUCGGUCGUUGAAAUCCCCCGGCUCAACCGGGGAAGUGGCGCCGAUACGGACCGCCCUGGAGCGACGUAGGGGGAACUGGAACUUCCGGUGGAGCGGGUGAAAUGCGUUGAGAUCGGAAGGAACGCCCGUGGCGAAAGCGAGUUCCUGGACGUCGGCUGACGCGUGAG